rnacentral:rRNA from 1 species
CCUACGGUAGGCUGCAGUGGGGAAUAUUGGGCAAUGGAGGCAACUCUGACCCAGCAACGCCGCGUGAGCGAUGAAGGUCUUCGGAUUGUAAAGCUCUUUAAGCGGGGACGAAGAAAGUGACUGUACCCGCAGAAUAAGCCUCGGCUAACUACGUGCCAGCAGCCGCGGUAAUGCGUAGGAGGCAAGCGUUCUCCGGAAGUACGUGGCGUAAAGGGUGCGUAGGUGGUCUGGCAAGUUGGUAGCGAAAUACCGGGGCUCCACCUCGGUGCUACUACCAAAACUGGUGGACUUGAGUGCAGGAGGGGUGAAUGGAAGUCCCAGUGUAGCGGUGGAAUGCGUAGAUAUUGGGACGAACACCAGCGGCGAAGGCGAUUCACUGGACUGUAACUGACACUGAGGCACGAAAGCGUGGGGAGCAAACAGGAUUAGAUACCCGGGUAGUC